AGGGAUCUCUCAUGUUUGUUGCCUCUGUAUUUUGGUUGCUAGUGAAGUUGUAAUGGCUUUUUGAGCACGAACACAAUGUUGUGAAUAUCAUUAAACAUAUUAAAUAAGAUGUACCUUAGGAUUUCCGGUUUCUUUAUCUUGUCUGAAUGAAGUUAUCAAUUUGCUAUUCUAUCAAUAAUUAUUACUAGUGAUAUAAUUGAAACAAAAAUAAUGAAAACAAAUCGACAAAAUAAGUAAAAAUUAAGCAAAAAUAAGUAAAAAUUAAGCAAAAAUAAGUAAAAAUGCAUAUAUAUAAUAAAUUUAUCAUAUUUAUCAAUAUAGUGGUUUUCACUAAAUUCACUAAAAUUGGGAGAUUUCAUAAAUUUACCUUGUAAAAUGCUUUAAAGUAUGUAUUUUCCUAGGAUAAACUAUGCAUUUAUGUAUUUUCUUCCAAAUUAAUUAUGUGUUUAGUGGAUGAUGACAAUACAUUCAAACAACUCUUUUUGAGAAAUAUAUAAAGUAAACCAAUUAAGUAAAUUCAUCACUUAGUCAAAAGUUAUAAAGUUAAAAUUAAAUCAGUGAUAUUUAAUUUAUCUAGUUAUUCUAAUAUUUUUAGUGAGGAGUAAAAUUUAAGGAAAUGAAAAAUUAUAUAAGGAUAUUUAGUUUAUUUUACAUAAAACAUUGUUUAUUCUUAUUAGAGAGAGUUAUAUGUUGUUUGGCGUUUACACUUGUUGUUUUCUUCUUAUUUUCAAGCUAAUCUACUCCCCGAGAUGCGCAUAACAAUGGAGAUUAUGCUUUCGAAAGACAUUAUAUUAUGUGUUUUGGAUACUAAUAUAUGUUGGUAGGUUGACAUAUCAUACUAUUAAUAAAAUGUUAUAAUUUGAUUAGUCAUGGCUAAGACGAAAAUUGCGACUCAAUGCCACAUGACUAAACUUGUCAAAUGAUUAAACGACUGAUGAUUAGACAAAACUUUGAUUUAAAUAAAAUAAAAACAAUACUACUAUUUAUCUCAUUUAGUAAACAAUCAAAUAAAUUAGUUAAAUACUAUAGAUUAUUAUCUCAUAUAGUCUCCUCGGUAACCCGGUCUCUAAACAUCAAAACAAGUAUAGAAAAGUGGUAAACAGAAAGAAACUAGCGAAUGAGAGAACAUAUCACGGCCCACUAAGUUAGUAAACCCCAAUGGGAUUUGGCAAGAUGAAAACUAUUGCACACAAUAUUUACUUCAGUGACAAUUGACACGAUAGAGUGGAAUUGUUAAACCAAAUAGGAUCAAACUUCAUCAUUGCUAAUUAGAAAUCGUUUUAAAACUGCGAUUAAUGGGUUGCACAAAGUCCUUGCGAUUGUGGGAGACGAACGUGAGCACAAUGCAUAAUUAGCAAAGAAAUUUCGAUGGCUAACCCCUAAAAUAAAAUUGAUUAAUAUUAUGUGAAUGCAAUGCGCCACUGAUACUAACUACACAGAAUUGAUCUUUAGCCUAGAGUCCAAAAAAGUUUUGCUUCAUACAGCCGCAGGCUUUGUGUUGCUGUAUUCUUUCGAUGUGGGACUAGUUAGCUAAUAACUCAGCUUAGUAUACGUUAGGCUUUAAGUAAAUUCAGACGUUGUCCAUGAUAAUGUUUUCUAGCCCUCUAAGCCAUACAAAUUUCGAUUUAGGAACAAAAGUUUGAAGCUUAUGGAUUGUUAGAGUUGAUCUCAUAUGAGACAGACAACUCUCCAAAAAUAGGUGUAUGCCGCUUGGUACGACAAGCCCACGGUAUUCUUUAGUAAAAGGCGAAAGUUCACUAUGUGCUUAUCGCACGGCUCCGUGAGCUCUCCUUAAAGGCUCUCUCGAUAUUAUAUAUGUCUAGCUCUCAGUGUCCUGCUCUGUACAUUUACGAUGUGGGACUAAAAACGCUAUGCAUAAAAAAAUUGCUUCUCUCAUUUCUCUGUCGAUAUUGCAGUCUCAACGCAUGUCAUUAAAUCAAAUUGAAUAAUACAUGUGUGUGCUGUUUUUACUAUUUUUCGAUUUCCCCUUUUUGUAGUUGUGAUGUCACUUAGAUCUAAAUUUAGAAUUCACGGAGUAGGGACGAUAGAAUUCAUAUAGUACAAAACUUUCCUUUGUACUAGGCUACAAGCUGAGAAGUACAAUGUCGACAUUUCUUUUAUCAAUUAUUUUUGCUUUUAUCAAUUUUUGUAGUACACAAAGUCUCUUGUUUCACUUGUACUAUACAAGACUCAACUGACUGCAACAUAAACUUGGCCCUUGUACUACAAUUUUCUGUGGUAUAUUAUUGUGUGUACUACCCAAUCCUUUCGUAAUGUGUGUAUUUAUAGUUCCCAUAGGAACCAAAUCUCAAAUUGUAAUAAUAUCAAUUAUUGCUAAAGUGAAGAGAGGGAAUAUCUUCAAGGUCACCCCUGCUGAGCUCCUUCUCUACCCUCCAUCUUUAUCAAACGCUCGGUCGCUUCAUUAAUUCACCAAAUGGUAAGUUUCUAUGUAGAUUACAUCUUUGUAGUGCAAAUUACAAGUACAAAUAUAAUAACUCUUUGUAAUCUUACGUACCUAUGUAUGAUAUAUGAUUUUGAAUGGUUAAGGAUCUACUACUUUAACUGUCUUGCUCUUUGUCCUUCAACAAGAUAGACUGCCGAAGACACAGAUGAAGAAAGAAACCCACAAUGAGUUCCAUCAAAAUGUUUGUGAUGUUAUUUCUUAGCUUCAGGGAUAAAUGUUAAAGAAAGCUAACCUCACGGAGGAGGCGGAGAGCGGCGGGACGAGUGAACUUCCGUGCAAAGAGGAAACACGGUGCCGGUUUCCCUUUACUAGUACACCAUUCUCGCCUGUAUUCCGUCUCAUAGUUGAUAUUGUCGAUUCCCUAUGAGUCCAAUAUGUUUUGUUAGAGUUUAUUUUCCUGUUUUAAGCUUGUAAAAGAGUUUAAAGCCAGAGAAAACGAAGGUACAUGUUGUGAUGGGAAGAAAUUCUUACUUAUGCCAAAUAGAAUGUUGCUCAACAGUUCUAAUA